GACGAACGCUGGCGGCGUGCUUAACACAUGCAAGUCGAACGGAAAGGCCCCUUUGGGGGUCCUCGAGUGGCGAACGGGUGAGUAACACGUGAGUAACCUGCCCUUGACUUCGGGAUAACUUCAGGAAACUGGGGCUAAUACCGGAUAGGAAUCCUUGCUGCAUGGUGGGGGUUGGAAAGCUUCGGCGGUUUUGGAUGGACUCGCGGCUUAUCAGCUUGUUGGUGGGGUAGUGGCUUACCAAGGCUUUGACGGGUAGCCGGCCUGAGAGGGCGACCGGCCACAUUGGGACUGAGAUACGGCCCAGACUCCUACGGGAGGCAGCGGUGGGGAAUAUUGCACAAUGGGCGGAAGCCUGAUGCAGCAACGCCGCGUGCGGGAUGACGGCCUUCGGGUUGUAAACCGCUUUCAGCAGGGGCGAAGCUUGUGGUGACGGUACCUGCAGAAGAAGCACCGGCUAACUACGUG
rnacentral:rRNA from 1 species